AGUGAACGCUGGCGGUAGGCCUAACACAUGCAAGUCGAGCGGCAGCACAGUAAGAGCUUGCUCUUACGGGUGGCGAGUGGCGGACGGGUGAGGAAUACAUCGGAAUCUACUUUUUCGUGGGGGAUAACGUAGGGAAACUUACGCUAAUACCGCAUACGACCUACGGGUGAAAGCAGGGGAUCUUCGGACCUUGCGCGAUUGAAUGAGCCGAUGUCGGAUUAGCUAGUUGGCGGGGUAAAGGCCCACCAAGGCGACGAUCCGUAGCUGGUCUGAGAGGAUGAUCGGCCACACUGGAACUGAGACGCGGUCAAGGCUCCUACGAGAGGCAGCAGUGGGGAAUAUUGGGCAAUGGGCGCAAGCCUGAUCCAGCCAUACCGCGUGGGUGAAGAAGGCCUUCGGGUUGUAAAGCCCUUUUGUUGGGAAAGAAAAGCAGCAGGUUAAUACCCCGCUGUUCUGACGGUACCCAAAGAAUAAGCACCGGCUAACUUCGUG
rnacentral:rRNA from 1 species